rnacentral:misc_RNA from 1 species
AGCAGCCGCGGUAAUUCCAGCUCCAAUAGCGUAUAUUAAAGUUGUUGCAGUUAAAAAGCUCGUAGUUGAAUUUCGGGAUUGGCGCAUCGGUCGUGCCUCACGGGGUAUGAACUGGUGCAGUCAAUUUCUCACCUUCUGGAGAACCGCGAUGUCCUUAAUUGGAUGCCGUGGGGAACCAGGACCUUUACUUUGAAAAAUUGAGUGUUUAAAGCAGGCAUUUUUGCUUGAAUACAUUAGCAUGGAAUAAUAAAAUAGGACGGCAUGGUUCUAUUUUGUUGGUUUCUAGGACCACCGUAAUGAUUAAUAGGGAUAGUUGGGGGCAUUAGUAUUCAAUUGUCAGAGGUGAAAUUCUUGGAUUUAUUGAAGACUAACUACUGCGAAAGCAUUUGCCAAGGAUGUUUUCAUUAAUCAAGAACGAAAGUUAGGGGAUCGAAGACGAUCAGAUACCGUCGUAGUCUUAACCAUAAACUAUGCCGACUAGGAAUCAGACGAUGUUAAUUUUUAAUGACUCGUUUGGCUA